UACGUAGGGUGCAAGCGUUGUCCGGAAUUAUUGGGCGUAAAGAGCUCGUAGGCGGUCUGUCGCGUCUGGUGUGAAAACUCAGGGCUUAACCCUGAGCUUGCAUCGGGUACGGGCAGACUAGAGUGCGGUAGGGGAGACUGGAAUUCCUGGUGUAGCGGUGAAAUGCGCAGAUAUCAGGAGGAACACCGGUGGCGAAGGCGGAUCUCUGGGCCAUUACUGACGCUGAGGAGCGAAAGCGUGGGGAGCGAACAGG
rnacentral:rRNA from 1 species